GUCUUCUUUGAUCCUUGAAUUCUAUGAAGCUCAAAUAGACAACAAAGCUUUGUGGAACUGGUUAAGUGUUAGCAUAAAUAUCUAGCCUUUAUCAUGUUGAGCCUCCUCAAUAAAUGUUACUCUCUUUAGUAGGAUCAUAAAUUUAUUUUUAUAAUUUUAUUUUUAUAGGAUAGGAAUAUAUUUAUUUCAUUUUUUUAUGCCACCACAGUGAAUGUACUUAUGGGUUUUAUACCAUGAGCAUACUCACAUGGGGCUUACUAUUUUUAGCAUUUUUAUUUUCUUUUCAAGAUGAUAUGAACCUGAUUAACUAAAAUAAUUGAAAGAAAAAAGAUAACUACCAAGUUUACCUCUUGGCAAGGCGUUCGGUGUUUUUAAGUCCUCCGAACGGGACUCUCCAUUUCCUCAGUCGUCCUGGGAUUCGCUGGAUGGCAUAGUCGGUGGUUCCAGCGGCGCUUCUUCUUCAUGUAUAACUAUCUUCUCUCUACACACCUGACUCGGUGCUACGGUCUCCUCAGGAUAGUUCUGUUCAAGCAGUAUGUCUUCAGAUAUUACCACUUCUCCUUCGUAGUCUGCCCAUCCGUCCUUGAUGAUUUGCCUCCUCUGGUUACGGUUCCGUCGUUUUCUUCUUGUCCUGACCUGCUUAGAGUCUUCAACUAUAUAGUUAGGGUCAGUAAAACAGUGGCGUACCUUCUCUGAGGGGAAGUGCAUGUGGACUUCUCUGAUUCCAAUGUAUAUGAUUGCUUUAAUGGUGCUAAAGAACGGUCAUCCAAGGAUGAUGGGUGGAUCGUACUCGUCUUCUCCCAUGUCAAUAACCUUCAAUCUUUCAGAAUGUCUGAUCUGCCAUCUGGAGCUAAAUGUAUGUUGGUUGUAGGGACAUGGUUCCAUGCAGGAGCUGAUAAGUGACUGCGGCCAUUAUGUUGACAUUAGAUCCGGUGUCGUAGAGUGUCUUCUGAAAAGAAUAUCUGUUGAUGGUGCACUCGAUGCUUGGAACACCAGGGUCGUCCUUCUUGAUCAAGAAACGUGACUUGAGUUGACGAUCUUGACCUCCUUGAGCUGCAGUGACCAUCUUAGCUGACUCGGUACACAUUUGCUUGUUCCUGUUCCUCCUGUUGGUCCUCUUCCUUGGUUCAUGUUAGGAAUGCUCUGAGAUUUGUGUAGUCUUGUUCUUGAAGAAAAACGUCUCCUUUCUUCCCUUGAUGUAAAAACUGAUCUUGGCAGUACUAGCGUAGAUGAUAGCUCCCGAGGUGUUCAGGAAUGGCCUCCAUAAGAUGAUGGGUGCCCUCUCAUCAGUAUCAGUCUCUAUCACCACGAAGUCUGUUGGAGCGUAUAAGGUACCAACUCGGACGUAGAGGUUCUUCAAUAUUCUCUUUGGGAAACUUAGCGU
rnacentral:lncRNA from 1 species